GGCGAGCGGCGGACGGGUGAGUAAUGCAUAGGAAUCUGCCCGGUAGUGGGGGAUAACCUGGGGAAACCCAGGCUAAUACCGCAUACGCCCUACGGGGGAAAGCAGGGGCUCUUCGGACCUUGCGCUAUCGGAUGAGCCUAUGUCGGAUUAGCUGGUUGGUGAGGUAAUGGCUCACCAAGGCGACGAUCCGUAGCUGGUCUGAGAGGAUGAUCAGCCACAUCGGGACUGAGACACGGCCCGAACUCCUACGGGAGGCAGCAGUGGGGAAUAUUGGACAAUGGGCGCAAGCCUGAUCCAGCCAUGCCGCGUGUGUGAAGAAGGCCCUCGGGUUGUAAAGCACUUUCAGUGGGGAAGAACGCCUUCCGGCUAAUACCCGGGAGGAAAGACAUCACCCACAGAAGAAGCACCGGCUAACUCCGUGCCAGCAGCCGCGGUAAUACGGAGGGUGCGAGCGUUAAUCGGAAUUACUGGGCGUAAAGCGCGCGUAGGUGGCUUGAUAAGCCGGUUGUGAAAGCCCCGGGCUCAACCUGGGAACGGCAUCCGGAACUGUCAGGCUAGAGUGCAGGA
rnacentral:rRNA from 1 species